CCUUUUCUUCUGGCUGCUUCCAGGCAGCGAUUUCCACGCGACGUCACAGUUCCUCUGUGUGAGAGAGGCACCGUGAACGAGGAAGUGUAAUAGGAAAGAUUAGAGGGGCUGCAGUAAGCUGUAAAACAUGGAACAGUCUGGCUCCGGCUGUGACUCAACAGGAAGCGGCAGAGCUGGAACAGAAGCUGAAGGACAGCACAGAAAGGCGUUUUCCUGGAAGAAACUGGAAAGUUGAUUUGUUGAUCUGGACCAAACAAAGCUUCAGACUUCGAACCAUUGGUAUAAAUAAAUCCUCAGGGCAACAGACACUCCAAAUAUGGAGCUGGAUCAAAGCACCCCUUAAAGUGUUGGAGAAGCAUCAAAUUAAAUCCUCCGAUCAUCGCUGCUCUAUUGCAAUAGCACUCUAAGUACGCCCAUAUAAGGUCAUAUAAUGACUGAGGACCUAAACCUGUGUAUGCAAUGUAAAUCAUAAACCUGCACAAUGCAUUCACCACAUGCUGUUUGGAAAUCUGGGUAGGCAAUCACCCACUGUCCCAGAUGAUGUGUUUGCUCAAAGGAAGACUCAUAGUUUUAUAAAUUUGACUAAUUUCAUGUUGAGCAAUGAGAUGCGUGGUUGGACCUGUGACCUCGGUGUGACAUAGUGAUGAAACUGCUCCGUUUUUUUUCCCAUUGGAGCCCCAAAGCUUCUCAAACACAUUUUGUCACCUCAAUGUGUUUGAGGUUUUCUGCUGGUUUCCACUGACUAGAGCACUUUCUUUCCCCUAUAUGACUUUGGCCAAACUCCAAGGAGGAGUUUCGUGCAACAGUGGUUGUCUUCUGGCAAAGUACAACUCGAAAGUCCCAGCUAAUAGCUGUCCUGUUCUGUUCUCACAGCUGAACUACUAGGUUUCAGCAGAUCCUCCAGAGCAGUUACUUGGCUGCUUCUCCAAGUGAUGCCCUCCUCGUCCCGCCAGUAGAAAGUAGAUAGUCUGGUCUUGGUGUGUUUGAGACCUCCAAAACGUUCUCCCUGACCUGUUGGCUGUGUUCGAAUGUCGUUGUUGUUUCUUCACUGAUGUUUUUUUUUGUUUGUUUUGUUUAACAAACCUUCACAUCAAACCCCAACAAACUACUGUACAUUGAGGAUGGUGGUUGUAAUAUGACCACAAAAAAAAAAAAAUUCAAAGGAUAUAAAUACUAUUGCAUUCCUCUGCACGUAUUUGUCUUCUUAAAU